UUCCAGCUCCAAUAGCGUAUAUUAAAGUUGUUGCAGUUAAAAAGCUCGUAGUUGAAAUUCUGGGCAUUGUCCUUCCGGCAAUUGCUAGAAGGAGGUGUCCAUCCGUAUAAGCAAACCUAUUUCCUCUUAAUCGAGGAGUAGGUGGAUUAUACAUUUUACUGUGAAAAAAUCAGAGUGUUCCAGGCAGGCAAUCGCCCUGAAUACACAAGCAUGGAAUAAUGGAAAUGGCUUUUGUCAUUUUUUGGUUUAAUGACAAGAGUAAUGAUUAAUAGGGACAGUUGGGGGCAUUAGUAUUUAAUUGUCAGAGGUGAAAUUCUUGGAUUUAUUAAAGACUAACUAGUGCGAAAGCAUUUGCCAAGGAUGUUUUCAUUA
rnacentral:rRNA from 1 species